UACGUAGGGUGCGAGCGUUGUCCGGAAUUAUUGGGCGUAAAGGGCUCGUAGGCGGUCUGUCGCGUCGGGAGUGAAAACUCAGGGCUUAACCCUGAGCCUGCUUCCGAUACGGGCAGACUAGAGGUAUGCAGGGGAGAACGGAAUUCCUGGUGUAGCGGUGGAAUGCGCAGAUAUCAGGAGGAACACCUAUUGCGAAGGCAGCUCGCUGGGACGUUACUGACGCUGAGACGCGAAAGCGUGGGGAGCAAACAGG
rnacentral:rRNA from 1 species